rnacentral:rRNA from 1 species
UGGUAACAGCUUGAGGUAUGAAGCCUUCGCAAGGAGGCCGAAAUGGGCAAUCCGCAGCCAAGUCCUAACGUGCUCGAAACCGAGUGCCAUGGAUGCUGUUCACAGGCCAAAUGGUAGUGGGUGACUCUUGCGAGUUGCUUAAGAUAUGGUCGGGCCCCUUCAGAAAUGUGGGGGAUAAGCUUACGCUUCUCCAAACCGUUCCGUAGGUGAACCUGCGGAAGGAUCAUU